GAUGAACGCUGGCGGCGUGCUUAACACAUGCGAGUCGAACGGAAAGGCCCUGCUUUUGCUGGGUGCUCGAGUGGCGAACGCGUGAGUAACACGUGAGUAAAACGCACCUGUCUUUGGGGUAACUUCAGGAAACUGCGGCGAAUACCCGAGAGAAGAUACUGCUGCAUGUUGGUCGAUGGAAAGAUUCGGCGGUUGGGGCUGGAAUCGAUGCUUAUCAGCUUGUUUGUCGGGUAGUGGCUUACCAAGGCUUUGACGGGUAGGCGGCCUGAGAGGGUUAACAGGCACAUUGCGACUGCGGUACGGAGCAGACUGCUACGGGACGCAGCAGGCGAGAAUAUUGCGCAACGGGCCGACGCCUGAUGCAGCAACGUCGCGUGCGGGAUGACCUCUUUCGAGGUGUAAACCGCUUUCGCCUGUGACGAAGCGUGCGUGACGGUAAUGGGUAAAGAAGCACCGGCUAACUACGUG
rnacentral:rRNA from 1 species